GAUGAACGCUGGCGGCGUGCCUAAUACAUGCAAGUCGAGCGAACAGACGAGGAGCUUGCUCCUCUGACGUUAGCGGCGGACGGGUGAGUAACACGUGGAUAACCUACCUAUCAGACUGGGAUAACUUCGGGAAACCGGAGCUAAUACCGGAUAACAUGUUGAACCGCAUGGUUCAACAGUGAAAGACGGUCUUGCUGUCACUUAUAGAUGGAUCCGCGCCGCAUUAGCUAGUUGGUAAGGUAACGGCUUACCAAGGCAACGAUGCGUAGCCGACCUGAGAGAGUGAUCGGCGACACGGGAACGGAGACACGGUCCAGACGACUACGGGAGGCAGCAGUAGGGAAUCUGCCGCAAUGGGCGAAAGCCUGACGGAGCAACGCCGCGUGAGUGAAGGAGGUCUUCGGAUCGUAAAACUCUGUUAUGAGGGAAGAACAAAUGUGUAAGUAACUAUGCACGUCGUGACGGUAACGAAUCAGAAAGCCACGGCUAACUACGUG
rnacentral:rRNA from 1 species